GAGAAAAUUUUGUGAUUACUUUUUUAUUACACCUACAGCUACAGGAAAAUAUCAUGACAAUGCAAAAUACCUUUGCUCAAUUCACAACCACAGGACAUACAAGAGUCAUUCAAAAGCUAAUGGAGGUAUUAUUGUCAAGUUUAAAAAGAGGUGGGAAAAUAUAUAUAAUGCUCAACUUAGAAUAUUGAUUUUCUUGUUCCACAUAAAAUUUAAAGUAAUAUCAAAUUUCAAGAAUCUGGUUUGGUUGGCAGUGCUUGAUAAUCCCCUAACAACAAUUAUAUGCCAAGAUUUCAAAAAUUUAAGUACCAGAGCAAAUAAAUUCUAGAUUAGAGUUAUUUAAUAUUACAUGGUUUCACCAACAAAUCCACCAUCUGUGAAGAGUUCCUUAUCCAUGAUUCUGAAUUUUAGAUGGGUCACGUGUUUCCAAUCAAUUAGCAGAAACUCAAACAUGAAUUUCUCAUUCCACCAUGCCUCUUCAUCUUUAACUGCAUGAUAGAAACUCAGGGCACUAGGCUGCUUCAAUAAACUAGUAACAUUGCUAUAGGAGUUAUUUGAAAAUAAAUUAAAAACCAAAAACUGGAGUGUAAACCUGAUGAUACUUUGCUUUCAUGUACUUUAUUUCCACAUUUUGUGAUGACAUAAUAAACUGGUGUUCCUCUCAUGAUUAUUAGGGAAUAGGAAAUAUAAUGAUUAAUUUGCUUCCAUUAUGUUGCGUUCUGUUUCCUUCGUAGAUUCCUUCUCGUCCAUAAACUUUUUAAGCCUUUCCACAUCUUUCCAUCUACCCCCCUCCGCAUACAAGUCUAAUAAAGUCUCAUAACAGCUAGUGUUUUCUGGGUCUAGGGCACUGAGCUGUUGGACGACAAACUCUGCCACCUCAAUUGACCCAUCUUGUUUUGAUCUACAACCAGCAAGAAGAGCUCCCCAGAUUCUUUUAUCAGGCACCACUGGCAUUUCCUUUACAAAUUUAAGAGCUUCUUCAAUAUUGCCUUGGCGACUUAGCAAGUCCACCAUGCAAGCAUAGUGUGCAAGUUUUGGAGUGAUUCCAUGCUUUUCUUGCAUAGAAUAAAACCACUUACAACCUUCAUUUUCUAGCCCACAUUGACUACAAGUAGAUAAAACAGAAAGGAAAACAGUAUCAUUGGGCUUGACCCCACAAUUCAACAUGUUGGAGAAUGUUUCAAGAGCCUCAAAACCACAUCCAUUUAACCCAUAUCCCUUAAUCAUUGAACUCCAACAUAUUACAUCUUUGGUGGAAAUUUCAUCAAAAAGAGCCUUCCCCUGCUUUAUCCUUCCAAGUUUGCAGUAUAAAUCAAUCAAGCAGGAUUUCAAAUAAACAUUGGAUGAGUAACCUGCUUUAGUUACAAAUCCAUGGAUGCUUUCCCCAAGCUCUUGAGCACCCAGUGCAGUACACGCUUGUAAUACACCAACAAAUGUAACCUCAUUAGGCUUCUCAUUUAUGGAUUGCAUUUGUUUAAAUGCACUUAAGGCAUCAUGAGGUUGCCCUCCUCGAGUAUAUACUGAGAUUAUUGCACUCCAUGCAAUAAGAUCUUUAUGAGUCAGCUGAUCAAAUACCAUCCUAGCUGAACCAAACUUGCCAUACUUACCAUACAUUUGAAGAAGUGAGGUGCCGACUGAAAUAAAAGCCAAGAAUCCAUUUUUCUCUAUAUAGGCGUGAAGUCCCACUCCAAAUUUAAGCUCAUUUGCUUGUAAUGAUGCCAAAAUUGUAUCCCUGAUAAUGAUUUCAUCUGGUUCAAUGCUAGAACAUUGCAUCUUCAAGAAAAUAUUCAAUCCUUCUCUAGGAUAUUGAUUCUCAAUACACACGCAAAUUAUAGUCCUCCAUGAGACCAAAUCCUUCUCCCAUAUUCCAUUGAAAAGUGAAAAAGAAGCUUCCAAUUCCCCACUUUUUGCGUAGACGUUCAUAAGUGAGUUUUGAACAUUUGUAAAAGAAUAAAAUAUCCUUUUUAUUGAAAACCCAUGAAUCUGAUUCACGAAACAUAACCCACCAAGAUGAGCACCAGCAGGCAAAACACUAAUAACAGUCACGUGAUUAGCUUCUACACCAUAAUAAAGCAUUCUCCUAAAAUAAUGAAUGGCCUCCCUAUACUUCUCAUUCUUAACGCAGGCCGAAACCAUUGCGCUCCACAAUAUCACAUCCUUAUACAAUAAAUGAUCAAAUAACUUCCACGCUAUUCCAAUAUCAAACAUGGAAUAAAAGCCAAGAAGAGCUGUCACGACUGGAGCUUCUAGUUCAAACCCCAAUUUAAUCACAUAAGCAUGUGCUACCCGUAUCAUGUCUUGGCAACUGAAUGCACCAAAGGCGCAUAUUAAGCUCACCAGCGUCACAAAAUUUGGCCUUUGGUCACUCAAUAGCAUAGUUUUAAACAAUCCAAUUGCCCGUUCAGGCUGCUUUUCGCUAACCAGCUUGGAAAUUUUAGAUGUCCAGGAGAUUACGUUGCCUUUUUUGUGAUGAAACUCGGUCGAGUCUUCAUAGCCUGUAUAUUCAUGGAGAGUAGAAGUGUAAUACAAACGAUAUAUGGAGUUUCUUACGUGUGAAUUUCGUUUGGUGAUUUCAUCGAACAGUUUGUGCGCAUUUUUUAGAAGAUAACACAUAAUAAUUCGAUAGGCUUAGCGUGAAGUGAAAGGCAGAUACUUGAAACUUUCGGAGGGCUUUUAGUUUGAUCAUGAAAGAGGCUUGUGGUUUUUAGGUCGUGAGAGGGCGAGCGAUAGAGAGAGAGAGGAUUCCCUCUGUAAUUCAAAAAAACCGUUUUAUGUGAAAAGAAAGUGAGACAACGAUGAAAAAUAGACGUUGAGGAAUCAAUGACGCCGUGUAAAGUGAAC
rnacentral:misc_RNA from 1 species